GAUGAACGCUUGCUACAGGCUUAACACAUGCAAGUCGAGGGGCAGCAUGGUCUUAGCUUGCUAAGGCCGAUGGCGACCGGCGCACGGGUGAGUAACACGUAUCCAACCUGCCGUCUACUCUUGGACAGCCUUCUGAAAGGAAGAUUAAUACAAGAUGGCAUCAUGAGUCCGCAUGUUCACAUGAUUAAAGGUAUUCCGGUAGACGAUGGGGAUGCGUUCCAUUAGAUAGUAGGCGGGGUAACGGCCCACCUAGUCUUCGAUGGAUAGGGGUUCUGAGAGGAAGGUCCCCCACAUUGGAACUGAGACACGGUCCAAACUCCUACGGGAGGCAGCAGUGAGGAAUAUUGGUCAAUGGGCGAGAGCCUGAACCAGCCAAGUAGCGUGAAGGAUGACUGCCCUAUGGGUUGUAAACUUCUUUUAUAAAGGAAUAAAGUCGGGUAUGGAUACCCGUUUGCAUGUACUUUAUGAAUAAGGAUCGGCUAACUCCGUGCCAGCAGCCGCGGUAAUACGGAGGAUCCGAGCGUUAUCCGGAUUUAUUGGGUUUAAAGGGAGCGUAGAUGGAUGUUUAAGUCAGUUGUGAAAGUUUGCGGCUCAACCGUAAAAUUGCAGUUGAUACUGGAUAUCUUGAGUGCAGUUGAGGCAGGCGGAAUUCGUGGUGUAGCGGUGAAAUGCUUAGAUAUCACGAAGAACUCCGAUUGCGAAGGCAGCCUGCUAAGCUGCAACUGACAUUGAGGCUCGAAAGUGUGGGUAUCAAACAGGAUUAGAUACCCUGGUAGUCCACACGGUAAACGAUGAAUACUCGCUGUUUGCGAUAUACAGCAAGCGGCCAAGCGAAAGCGUUAAGUAUUCCACCUGGGGAGUACGCCGGCAACGGUGAAACUCAAAGGAAUUGACGGGGGCCCGCACAAGCGGAGGAACAUGUGGUUUAAUUCGAUGAUACGCGAGGAACCUUACCCGGGCUUAAAUUGCGGAUGAAUUACGGUGAAAGCCGUAAGCCGCAAGGCAUCUGUGAAGGUGCUGCAUGGUUGUCGUCAGCUCGUGCCGUGAGGUGUCGGCUUAAGUGCCAUAACGAGCGCAACCCUUGUUGUCAGUUACUAACAGGUUCCGCUGAGGACUCUGACAAGACUGCCAUCGUAAGAUGUGAGGAAGGUGGGGAUGACGUCAAAUCAGCACGGCCCUUACGUCCGGGGCUACACACGUGUUACAAUGGGGGGUACAGAGGGCCGCUACCACGCGAGUGGAUGCCAAUCCCCAAAACCUCUCUCAGUUCGGACUGGAGUCUGCAACCCGACUCCACGAAGCUGGAUUCGCUAGUAAUCGCGCAUCAGCCACGGCGCGGUGAAUACGUUCCCGGGCCUUGUACACACCGCCCGUCAAGCCAUGGGAGCCGGGGGUACCUGAAGUGCGUAACCGCGAGGAGCGCCCUAGGGUAAAACUGGUGACUGGGGCUAAGUA
rnacentral:rRNA from 1 species